GUAUAUAUACAGGUGAAAGUAUGAAGAUGUUAUCCCAGCAAAUAGAAAUUCGUCUGUUUUUACAAAACGUCGCCUUUACAGACUCAACAUGAAAACAUUCAUUGCCUUUGUCGCCCUGUCAGUAGUAUGCAGUGUAUACUCUCAGACAUACAGUGUAUCAAGUUAUGAUCCUUACGAAAGUUAUGGCGGGAUAGGAUUACUUACUGGAGCAAGACGACUUGUAGGCUCUAGACGUUUAACAGGAGGUUCUUUGCUGGGAGGAACUCGUGGGCUGUCCAGACUAAGUCGUAGAAGAGUGUAUAGACCAAGCAGCACACGAUAUAUAGAUACAAGGCAAAGUUACAUUCCAAGAAGGAGACAAGUUUAUCCUACAACAUAUUAGACGUUAUGAAAUCCAUUACCAUGGAAACAUUCUUUCCAGAGACAGAAUCGUGCCAAAAAAAUCUCAUGUAUACAUGUUGACAGAUAUAACGUAUUUAGUUGCUUCUUCAUUUCAUUUCACUUUUGUGAAGAUAGACAUUCAUUUGAUAGAAAAAAAUAAAUCUUUUAUUUUUCAUAAUUACUUAUGAAGUACAGCAAACCUACCUAUAUGUUAGGAACUCGUAAUAGACCAACACUAUGUUUUACCAAAUAUGAAAUGAAAAACGUAGCGUAAACACGUGAAAAAAUGUAUCCUAAGGAAAUGAAUGAUGAAAAAGGUUUAAUAAAAUGCACUUACACUACUUAUAUUUGAAAAUGAAACAGAGUCGGUAAUGCAUGCAAAAAGGAUCUUCUUAACAUACAUGCAUCAACUGACAAGGCAAAUAUUUGAUAAUGUGAAGUGAAUAGUGUUGAUAAUAAAAUUUUUUAUUGUGAAAUAAUAUAGAAGACAACUAUUUUUAUUUAGAUGAUUUUGACAGUUUUUGUUGUUGACUUAUGCCCUAUGGUUCCAAAUUUAUAGAUCACCAUUGAUUGUUGACCGAACAUUUUUGAAAUUCAGAAUUUAAACUCACUUUCGAUUUUUUAACGCUUUGAUUGUAGUGCUACUGUGAAAAGUUCUGGUCCCAUAAAAAGUGCAAGCUUACAUCAGAAUUUUGCUUGCUUACUAUGUAUUACAUGGCGGUACAUGAAUCGCUAUAAAUUCUAACCGUUGUAGUAAAUUGUUACUUUUGAAUAUAAUCUAAUUUAAUAUUAAAACAUCAAUUUAUCCAAACUAAUUAAUGUUGUCUGACCUCUACCCUUGGCGUAGCUUCCGUUAGCAUUUCUGUAACAAAGAGAUGGCAGUACCGGCUGAACUAGCUAUUUAUUAUUUUCCAUAAGGUUUCAGAUUUCUCUUGUUUGUAAUAAAUGUAUUUUUUUUCUGAGAAAAAAUCAAAAAGAUUAAUGUAUAUAAUAGUUAAAUUUUCAAGGGAAUGACUGUUUACUAAUAUUAGGAUAACUUGUGGAUCGUUCCUACUGCUAUUAUGGUAUUGACCGUUGAUAUAUGUUUGUACUCUAGUUAUAUAACAGUUACUACAUUUAUUGUAUGCAAUAAAAUAUGUUUAAACUA